rnacentral:rRNA from 1 species
UACGGAGGGGGUUAGCGUUGUUCGGAAUGACUGGGCGUAAAGCGCGCGUAGGCGGGCUGGAAAGUCAGAGGUGAAAGCCCGGGGCUCAACCCCGGAACUGCCUUUGAGACUCCCGGCCUCGAGUUCGAGAGAGGUGGGUGGAAUUCCGAGUGUAGAGGUGAAAUUCGUAGAUAUUCGGAGGAACACCAGUGGCGAAGGCGGCCCACUGGCUCGACACUGACGCUGAGGCGCGAAAGCGCGGGGAGCAAACAGG